AACGAACGCUGGCGGCGUGCCUAACACAUGCAAGUCGAACGAGAAAGGGGCUUCGGCUCCGAGUAAAGUGGCGCACGGGUGAGUAACACGUAGGUAACCUGCCUCUAAGAUUGGGAUAACCUGUCGAAAGACGAGCUAAUACCGAAUAGGACCACGGCUUCCUCGGAAGCAGGGGUCAAAGGUAGCCUCUACUUGUAAGCUAUCACUUAGAGAUGGGCCUGCGUACCAUUAGCUAGUUGGUGGGGAACGGCCUACCAAGGCAAAGAUGGUUAGCUGGUCUGAGAGGAUGAUCAGCCACACUGGAACUGAGACACGGUCCAGACUCCUACGGGAGGCAGCAGUGGGGAAUAUUGCGCAAUGGGCGAAAGCCUGACGCAGCAACGCCGCGUGAGUGAUGAAGGGCCUUCGGGU
rnacentral:rRNA from 1 species